rnacentral:miRNA from 1 species
UAUGUUGCAGAUUCUUCAUUU